CAGCCGCCGCGGUAAAACGAAGGUCCCGAGCGUUGUUCGGAAUCACUGGGCGUAAAGGGAGCGUAGGCGGCGUGGUAAGUCAGAUGUGAAAUCCCGGGGCUCAACCCCGGAACUGCAUCCGAUACUGCCAUGCUAGAGGAUUGGAGAGGUAGCUGGAAUUCUUGGUGUAGCAGUGAAAUGCGCGGAGAUCAAGAGGAACACUCGUGGCGAAAGCGAGCUACUGGACAAUAACUGACGCUGAGGCUCGAAGGCCAGGGUAGCGAAAGGGAUUAGAUACCCCUGUAGUCCCUGUCUCUUAUAC
rnacentral:rRNA from 1 species